GACUACAAGUAGGUAUAGACCUUGAAAUAUAAGUGAGUUGCACGGACUAAGCACAGUUAGUUGUAGUUUAUUAUGCACUGAGUGUAGAAAUAGAUAUUGUUGUGAUGGCCUCGAUUAAACCGCAGCGUAGCGCGGAUGUUACUCGAGAUACCAACCGUUUCCUAUCCCUCUAACUCUUCAAUCUAUGAUUUUUUGCUGCUCUUUGCCCGUUUUUGCUGACGUAAGCAAUGAUAUUCAUUGAUUUGUGACAUCACUUGUCUUUAUUUGCUACAUCCAAGCUCAUGUGAUGUCUAACCUGCAACUAGUCUAACCUGCAACUACACCUAGUCAUAAUGUGUCACAGGGGCGUGGCAAUUUACACUACUACGCAACAGAAACCAAGAAAAUCACCAUUUUUGACAAGAAGGGCCGCUCUAGCAAAGAAGAGACUGGUCUAGCUCCUGAUGUCACGGAAGUGUGGUCGUCUAGUGAAGAUUCAGAGUCAGAUUCUGACGUUGAAGACAAUGGUCAUUGGUCAGCGAUACAAGAGACAGAUAAUCAGUUUCGGAUACUAUAGUUUCGGAUACUAUUUAUAUUUAUUUUGCUCUGGCAAGCUACAUACAACGUAUCAAGUGCUGGAGUGACAAGUUUUCUUAAAUUUGCACGGUACUUCAUUCACUAUCUUGGAAAGGCUUUUCAGUGUGAGUUGAUGGUACAAGCUUCCUCCUCAAUUCCUGCUACCAUGGGGAAAAUGGAAAAACUAGCAGGACUCAACAAGCAGUCAUUCACUGAAUACGUAGUUUGUCCAAAGUGUAGCUGCAUUUUCGAAUACAAGGAUUGUAUACAAAUAGUUAAUGGAAAGAAAGAAUCGAAGCGAUGUUGUCAUGCAUUUUGAGUUCCUAAUCAUCCUCAACCCUGUGGUACCUUGCUAUUAAAAUCACACAAAACCAAGAAAAGAACUGUUUUAACACCAAUAAAAGUAUAUCCAUACCGGUCGCUUAAAACAAGUAUAUGUCACCUCUUAAAACGGCCAAGCUUUGUAGAAAAAUGUGAGCAGUGGAGAAGCCGAGCUAAUGUCAUUCCAGAAGAUUUUCUUGGAGAUGUUUAUGAUGGCAACAUAUGGAAACGAUUUUCGAGUGCUGAGUACAAUAACUUUUUAAACAAUCCUCACUCUUAUCGUUUGACUUUAAACAUAGACUGCCAUUCAAACGAACUGUGCACUCCACUGGUGCCAUGUACAUGACAAUCCAGAAUUUGCCUAGAAAUGAGAGAUAUAAGAAAUGAGAGAUAUAAGCAGGAAAACGUUAUAUUGGUGUUGGAGUAAUGCCAAAAAAAAAGAAUGCACAAAAAAAGGCAUAUCAGAAAAGGAUGUUUGAUAGAAGAAAAAAAUUUCUGAAAUCAGAAAGCGAGAAAAAACAGUGGGCUGAGAUUGAAGAUAGGUAUAUGACACAACGGGGAAAAUGUUUACAGACACAAAUUACCAUGGAGAUCAACUAGACUGAACACUUAUGUUGCAAAGCUUGCCAGCAGAGCGACCAGUGGAAGAAUACAGCUGAAGCCACGCGUUGAGUCUGUACUCUCUAUCCUAUCUCCUCCACAAAAACUGAUCUCCACAGACAGUAUUCUGGGUAGCUCUACCAUAGUUUUAAUAAGUGCUGAAACAUUAUUAUUUGAAGCACACCAUGGGCGGUCAUUUGGAGCCGGAGAUGGAGUCUCUUGAGCUGUUUCUUUUCGUGGGCUGGCUAGCCGGCUACCGUGUACAUGUACCUUGAACAUCAAAGAGACAGGUAAUCUGUACCUAGAUCAUAAUAAUACAAGUGUUGGUAAAUAAAAUAAUAGCCAAGUUUUUAUGUCACUCGUACUACGUACAUGUAGUGUAGUGUGUGUGCUUGUGUGGAUGUGUCAUUGGUGCCAGCAGCCUGUAAAGAUGUGUCAUCGUGGCAUUUAUUACAAGGGUUUAUUGUUACUUUAAAUAGUGUGUAUUGGCUUGGCAUCCGGUGCCAGCAGCCUGUAAAGAUGUGUCAUCUUCUGUCAGGUGGCCUUUAUAUAGGAGCUACUUUAAAUAGUGUGUGUGCUUGUGUAUUGGCCCUGCCUGUAAAGAUGUGUCAUCUUCUGUCAUCUUCUGUCAGGUGGCCUUUAUAUAAGCUCAUGUACUUUACAAGGGUUUAUGGUACUUUAAAUAGUGUGUGUACUUGUGUGUACUUGUGUAUUGGCCCUCGUGCUUGGAUGGAUGUGUCAUCCGGUGCAGAUGUGUCAUCUUCUGUCAGGUGGCCUUUAUAUAAGCUCAUGUACUUUACAAGGGUUUAUGCUACUUUAAAUAGUGUGUGUACUUGUGUAUUGGCCCUCGUGUAUUGGCCCUCGUGCUUGGAUGGAUGUGUCAUCCGGUGCCAGCAGCCUGUAAAGAUGUGUCAUCUUCUGUCAGGUGGUCUUUAUAUAAGCUCAUGUACUUUACAAGGGUUUAUGCUACUUUAAAUAGUGUGUGUGCUUGUGUAUUGGCCCUCGUACUUGGAUGGAUGUGUCAUCCGGUGCCAGCAGCCUGUAAAGAUGUGUCAUCUUCUGUCAGGUGGCCUUUAUAAUAGUGUGUGUACUUGUGUAUUGGCCCUCGUGCUUACGUUAAAUUACUGUCAUAGAGUUUAGAUCAUACAUAUAGGAGUACACGCUAUAUUAAUUUCAUUCUUUGUUCUUCAGAUUUACUCAUUCUCUCUUUGCGGAAAGGAGGCUCACCUAUACACAAAUUAAGAUAAGGUUGCCACCAACUUCUUUUGUGUGUUAUUAACAGUCCUGCUAAGUCUUCAGGGUCGUCAAAAAUGGAAUGGAACGUUGACUGUUCCUGACUUCCCAUUACAAGUGUUGGCAUCGAUACCGGCACCAUUGUUGAUUUGCUGUGUGAAGUUGUAUCCGAGCAGAGCCGGAUGGAAGAAGGUAUUAAUUAGAACGAGACUCGAGAAUGACACGAUGAAUGACAGUGGCGAAAGGAGUGAGGAACAAGACUCUGUCGCUGAGAGUGAUACGAUGAGUGAGAUGAGUGAUGGUGGUGCAAUGAGUGAGAGUGGCACCAGUCAAGACGAUCAAAUCACAUUGCGUGACCUGGCAGCGCUCUCAAGUGGUGAAUUCUCCAUUGAGGAUGAUCCGAACACAUGUGUUUUGGGUCAUGUGUUUUGGGUGAUGAAGAACAGACAAAAGAACAAUCAAUUACACUGUCGACAUCAAUGGUGUAAUUAUUGUGUCUGAAGACCUCCGGGUGUAUAACCUGUGUCAUGCACCGGUGUUAAAAGGUUCCACCCGAAAUCCAUGGUGAUCGACAUGCACACAUACCUUGCCAAGACAGCACCUCUGGUAUGUUCAUGGAACUGCUGACAUGAGUAUGUAUGACAGUCAGAUACCAUUGGGGUUCCCUGUUUCAAAGCGGCUGAGAGUACCAGGCUUUGCCCACUAGGUUCUACGUUGCCUGCGAGAUUAAGGACGAGAAUGUGGUGGCAGCUCCAACCUCCGUUCAAAUGUUACUCAAGAAAAGUUUUUAUAUUGAUGUGUUGUGCCCAGCAAUCUCACGGCUGCCUACGACUCGGAAGGAGAAGGAUAAUGCUGUGGAGACGAUUAUGUCCACCAAGUUGCUACCAGCGUCCUUUACUAUCAGUCAGUCCAGUCUCGGCCCAAUGUCUCCACUGACAGGUUAUGGUAAGUGGUUGGACGCAGUUCUGAAAUUAUUUAGGUGAGAGUCCUGUGUCCCCAUCAAACAACCCAAGACAAGUUAUGGUAAGUGAUUAUUUUGAAUAGAUGAAGAUUGGAGCGCAAUGUCUCCAUCAACUCCACCAACUGGCAGGUUAUGGUAUGUGCGUUAUGGUAAGUGCCUUAAAGGGAGGGUGACUUAGUGAGGCAGAUUUAGCAUCCUGUCUAACAUACUUCCUGUUGUGGUUGAAUGUGGGCGCGGCUACUACAUGAUGUCAUAGAAGGAAUACAUGCAAAACUUAAUGCCACUCAACUGUAGCACUAUGGUCAACAGAUUGUAGCUGCUGGGUGCUCAAACACUCCUAGUGAGCUUUCCCAAGGAUGCUGGAUAAAAAAAAAGUGAAGUUCAACGAACAAGAGCUCAGUGUAUGGAAGGCCACUGAUCAUGCACUCGUGAACAUUUUACUGAUGACAGCUUUGAAAUUAACUCAGCUCUUACUUGGCCUGAAGAAAAGAAGGCGCUGAAACCAUGAAAUUGGUCAUAAGAGAAGAGCAGAAGGGGGUGGUAUCGGAAGAAGAAGAGGAGUUGUAGAGAAAAGGCAACGGCAUGAGAUUGUCAAUCAAAUUAUUGCUGGACCCUCACACUCUCCAACUGGCUUCUGCUGAAGUCGAACCAGAUGAUGAACCUAGUCCUAAAUACAACCAUGUAUCAGUGCAAGCCUGUGUUCAAGUUAGCCAAACAAAAACAAGCGCUAAGGGUAAAAGCAAAUCAUCUGAUACCUACCAGCCUAUUAUAAGUAGCGAUUUUGUAAAACCAGAAAAAUCAUGCCAUUCCGCACCAAAGCAGAUUCAUCACCCCUGACCACUAACAUUUUCAUGUUCGUAUGACAGUUUAUAUUUAUAUUGUAAAAUGACACUUGUGGAUAUUUAAAUCCAGCAUAGUUAGCAGAAGUGUCCUGAAGUUUCCCUGAUUUGGUUUACAGCGCAGCUAGCCAUCCCCAACACCAACCAACAAGUUGCCGAUAAGCAAUGAACCGGUAACGCCUACGAAUAAAAUACAUGGCUUAUAAUUCAGUAACACUUUAUACUCAUGAAUGUGCUGGAUCACCAUAAUGAUAUCUGUAGUUAGAGUAUGCUAUUUGAAGUACCCACACAUCGAGGCACACCGGUGUGAAUCAUUCAUGUCAACUUAUAUCAGUGUGAUUUCUUCCUUCUUCUCGACGACUUUCCACUUCACAGCAACAUACACAUUCUCACCUGAAUAGAUUACAUGCUUGUUUAUGUGCAUUUUUGUAUGAAGCACAUGCACCUUCAGAGUCAUCAUCUUCUUCUCCUUCUUCUCCUCCUGGUUCUGUGUCUAAUGGUACAUGGUGUGCCACUCUCAAAUCUGUAGGGCUCAAUUGUUUCUUGAUUACUUCCAUGUUCUGAAACUUCUGACACAUCAUUUCAACAGAAGACACUGAACAGUGGUAUCGCCACUGCACAACUUCCUGUAAAAUUAAUUACAAUGGGCGGAGUUCAUAAAUUUGCAAUGCCAAAGAACGCUUUCGCUGCCCAUGUUUGCUGAUGUUCUACAGGAGUUUGGGCCACAGAUGAGACUGAGAAGUAAUGUCUGUCUCAACAUAGUCAUCUUCAGAAUUAUAAUGGCACUGCUCUGAUAAUACAAGAUCGUGUACAUCAUCCUCUUCAAAUAGGUUUUCUGGAGAAUCCCAUUGAAUCCCCAGUUCUCCAUUUUAUCGCUUCCAUCCAUGUGUAGUGAGAGAGAGCUGAAAUAGGAAUUAACAAGUUCUUUUGGUGUCUCUUUCAUUGAACCGGGUGUGUCAAACACUACGUGGACCUCCUGUACGUGGACCUCCUGUACACCUGCCUUAAUGUAGUGGUGUUGUCUGAAUCAUGAACAUUCCCUCUAGGAUCACUGAAUGUGGUACCCACAGGGGAGGGAAGCUGUUUAGAAUAACUGGACUCGCAUGGUAGUCUAUGAGGAGGAUGCAAGGUAGUGAGUGUACAAUGUGUUGUAGUGAUCCACCUGGUCAUCCUCAACUGUAAAACAUGCUACUUUUUGUUGCAGCACUUCCUCAAUCUCUUCAACUGAGAGACGACAGGGUCCACAAGAACCUUCGUAGAACGCAUUGAGUCUGGCCAUAUACACUGCUGAUGAUUCUGUAUACUGUGACAAAUUUGAUGUGUGAUGUAUGGCUUCAUUGCUCAUUCUUGUGUGUGUUUACAAUUGUGUGUACAUAGUAUUUUUAUGUCAUCUUUGUACAUCGAUAUCUCGGAAAAUAUACAACAUACAUGACUGGAAAUUUGCUUAAAUAAUUGGAAAUUUCAUACUGUUUCUUUUAGUAGUAAUAAGUGUGGGUUACCUUGAGGAAGCUGGAAAUGGCCCCAAUUGAAAUGGCCCCAAGUCAAUCUUGGCUUC